GAAGCAUCGUCCCCAGACCGUACCUGAAGUUCAUUUCAAGCAAUUGAUAUCCUAUUGGAAGAACAAUAACAUCCAAAAAAUUAGCAAAAUCAAUGCUGUGAACAGAGCUAAGCAAAAGUAUAUGCAUCGGAUGGGCCCAACAAACUUUGCGAGGAUUCGUGCAAAACUGCGUGCUAAGAAAGAGGACGGAAAGGAAGUUAGCCAGGCAGAGAUGUUCAUUGAGAC